rnacentral:rRNA from 1 species
GACGAACGCUGGCGGCGCGCUUAACACAUGCAAGUCGAACGGAAAGGCCUGCUUUCCCUUGUGGAUUGCGGGUACUCGAGUGGCGAACGGGUGAGUAACGCGUGAGUGAUCUGCCCCCAACUUGGGUAUAAGCCUGGGAAACUGGGUCUAAUUCCCGAUAGGACUGCAGGGUGGUGCCUGUGGUGGAAAACGAUUUUCUAGUGGUUGGGGAUGAGCUCGCGGCCUAUCAGCUUGUUGGUGGGGUAAUGGCCUACCAAGGCGGCGACGGGUAGCCGGCCUGAGAGGGUGGACGGCCACAUUGAGACUGAGAUACGGCUCAGACUCCUACGGGCGGCAGCAGUGGGGAAUAUUGGAGAAUGGGCGGAAGCCUGAUGCAGCGACGCUGCGUGGGGGAUGACGGCCUUCGGGUUGUAAACUCCUUUCGACCGCGAGGAAGCCACCUGGUUGGAAGGGUGGUGACGGUAGUGGUAGAAGAAGCACCGGCUAACUACGUG